CUGAUUUCAUCCCUCAACACCACAAACAGUUGUUGCUCAGUCGGAAGGCUGCAGCCAAAGAGUCUUUAUGCCAGGCAGCCCUGGGUCUCAUCCUCAAGGAGAAAGCCAUGACCGACACUUUCACUCUUCAGGCACAUGAUCAAUUCUCUCCAUUUUCGUCUAGCAGUGGAAGAAGACUGAAUAUCUCGUAUACCAGAAACAUGACUCUUAAAGAUGGUAAAAACAGUUUUCGUCUCCUCGGAUAAUCAACCAUUUCCAUACUCAUGUAAUCUAGGCAUACUCUGGAGUUAUUACAGGUUUGGUUCCAGACCACUACAAUAAAAUGUAGCCAUAGCUGUAACGUAUAACCAUGAUGGGUCUUAUAGCAUGCAGAUUGAAGAUAAAACUUUCCAAGUCCUUGGUAAUCUUUACAGCGAGGGAGACUGCACUUACCUGAAAUGUUCUGUUAAUGGAGUUGC
rnacentral:lncRNA from 10 species